rnacentral:rRNA from 1 species
AUGCACGAGGAAGACCAGGGAGGCGGCAGUAACCGGGGGAGGUGCGCGGCGUGCAAGUACCUGCGCCGGCAGUGCGCCCCCGACUGCGUGCUCACCCCCUACUUCCUGGCGUCGCAACCCCACCGCUAUGCCGCCGUCCUCCGAGUCUUUGGCGCCAGCAAAGUCGCGAGGUUUCUCGAGAGCUUGCCGGUGGAUGAGAGAGCUCAGGCGGCGGAGACGAUGGCAAUGGAGGCGCAGUGGCGGGUGGAGGACCCGGUGUACGGAUGCGCCGGGAUCAUCAGCCAGCUGCAGGAGGAGAUUCAGCCAACGCAGUGCGAGCUCGCCAGGACGCGAGCGCAGCUCGCCAUCGUCCCCGUGCACGGUGCGCAGCUGCAGGGUUCCACGGCUGCUCUUCCGCCGCCGCAGCCGCAGCGAGACGAGGGCCACCGCGUCCCCGUCGCGCAGAUGCAAGGCCAAGGGCAAGGAAAGGCGGUGUCGUUGCUUGACCCGGACGACGGCCACCGCGUCGCUGUCGCGCAGAUGCAGGGGCAGGGAGAGGCGGUGUCGUUGCUUGACCGGCCCGGACGACGGCCAUCGCGUCCCCGUCGCGCAAAGGCAGGGGCAGGGAGAGGCGGUGACGUUGCUGGACCCGGAUGA